UACGGGGGGGGGCAAGCGUUAUCCGGAGUUACUGGGCGUAAAGAGUGCGUAGGCGGAUCUGUAAGUGGGUGGUGAAAGCGCCCGGCUAAACCGGGCGAGGUCCAUUCAGACUGCAGGUCUAGAGGCGGAUAGAGGGGUGCGGAAUUCCGGGUGUAGCGGUGAAAUGUGUAGAGAUCCGGAGGAACACCAGUGGUGCAGACGGCGCCCUGGGUCCGAACUGACGCUGAAGCACGAAAGCGUGGGGAGCGAACAGG
rnacentral:rRNA from 1 species